rnacentral:rRNA from 1 species
AGAGUUUGAUCCUGGCUCAGAAUCAACGCUGGCGGCGUGCCUAACACAUGCAAGUCGAACGCGAAAGUCCCGCAAGGGAUGAGUAGAGUGGCAAACGGGUGAGUAACACGUGGGUGACCUGCCCUCGAGCGGGGGAUAACGUCCCGAAAGGGACGCUAAUACCGCAUGACAUCCUGCCUUUGAACAGGUGGAGAUCAAAGCUGGGGAUCGCAAGACCUAGCACUCGAGGAGGGGCCCGCGCCUGAUUAGCUAGUUGGUGAGGUAAUGGCUCACCAAGGCAUCGAUCAGUAUCCGGCCUGAGAGGGCGGACGGACACACUGGGACUGAGACACGGCCCAGACUCCUACGGGAGGCAGCAGUGGGGAAUUGUUCGCAAUGGGCGCAAGCCUGACGACGCAACGCCGCGUGGAGGAUGAAGACCUUCGGGUCGUAAACUCCUUUCGAUCGAGACGAAUGGCCUCCGGGUGAACAGUCCGGAGGAGUGACGGUACCGAGAGAAGAAGCCCC